UGGGGAAUCUUGGACAAUGGGGGCAACCCUGAUCCAGCGACGCCGCGUGGGUGGUAAGGCCCUAGGGUUGUAAAACUCUUUCACCGGUGAAGAUAAUGACGGUAGCCGGAGAAGAAGCCCCGGCCAACUCCGUGCCAGCAGCCGCGGUAAUACGGAGGGGGCUAGCGUUGUUCGGAAUUACUGGGCGUAAAGCGCGCGUAGGCGGGCCGGUCAGUUGGGGGUGAAAUCCCGAGGCUUAACCUCGGAACUGCCCUCAAAACUACCAGCCUUGAGUCCGGGAGAGGUGAGUGGAAUUCCUAGUGUAGAGGUGAAAUUCGUAGAUAUUAGGAAGAACACCAGUGGCGAAGGCGGCUCACUGGCCCGGUACUGACGCUGAGGCGCGAAAGCGUGGGGAGCAAACAGGAUUAGAUACCCGCGUAGUCC
rnacentral:rRNA from 1 species